UUUUUAGUAUAAGUAUGUCCCAUGCAAUACUUGAGACAUACUUGUACUAAAA
rfam:Loxodonta africana unplaced genomic scaffold scaffold_7, whole genome shotgun sequence.